rnacentral:lncRNA from 1 species
CGCACAAUUGAUACAUCCAUACAAUUGAGGGGGAGACGUUCGUUGACUAUAGGUCAAACGGAGCCCAGAACGCAGCAAGUUCCAGUGCUGAUCCGACGAAAUCAAACCAGCGGACUCCAAGCGGCGUCACAGCAGUUUGUUAUCGAUCCCAGCAGCGCCCUCGGCUUCUCUAGCAAGCACUCAGACCUUCAAGCGUCAAUUGAGCCACCAGUGGACUCCCGAACGCAGAUCUUGGAGCCUUACCAAGUUGCUGCUUUAGCGAAAUUUCUUAGACGAUUACACGGUAUCUAACUCUUGGCUUUCCUCGACAGUUUGUUGGGGCAAUUCAAGUCCAAUUCAGUGAGCUUCAACACCACCAAAAUCCAGUCCCGACAUCCAAGUCUGAGCUGUGAGCCUCGCCGAGCAUUACCAUAUCACUCGCGAGUAGCCGUAACCGUUCGAGGAUUGGAAUUUGGGAGCCAAUAUUCGGAAUAGGUAAAAAUUUUGUCUAUUUUGAUUUCCGAAAAAUCCGUUUCCUUAUUUGAUAUAUUCGUUGAUGCACAUGAUUGAAAUCCCUAGCGUGAUAUUCGCAACUCGAGGGGCUCUCAAAUUAGGGAUUGACAGUCCGAUUUUCACGCUCGAAAUCCGACUCGCAAUUCCUUACAAAAAUCGACAAUCCAAUCUCAAGCCCGAGAUUCGAUUCGCGAUUUAAUUUAAAAUUGGCUAACCCGAUCUCAUGCGCGAGAUAUGGUUCGUCAAUUUUUGGAUAUCAAUCUUAUCUUUUGUUUGAUUUGUUAUCGUCAAGUUGGUUGAGUCAAAUCUUAUUUUCGUAAAAUAAAAAAUCAAAAAAAUCUUAAUUAGGAUUAGGUUUGUUGUCAUCUUGCAUAUUUAGGAUAGCAAUCUUAUUUCGAAUUUUUAAAUAAAAAAUCCAAAAAAGAAAGUGCAAUCAUUUAGGUUGUUAGUUUUGCAUGUUAGUUUUAAUUUCGAAUUUCUUAAAGAAAAACACAAAAAAAAUCAGUGUGCAUAUUAGAUUAGAAUUGCAUGUUUCAUUUUAAAUUUAGAUAAUUUUUUAUAGAUAAAUUGCAUUUUAGAUUUAGAUAAUGUCUUAGUUUAAAUUAGGAUUUAAUAUGACUUAAUCCCUAGUUUAAAUUAGAUAAAAUCUUAAUCUAGCUAGGUCAUUUCAAAUUUCAUAAAAUUUGUCUUAGGAUAAAUUAGUUGCAAUUUCUAGGAUAGAUUGCAUUUUCAAAAUAAAAAAUGUCAUUUGCAUGUCAUUUAGUGAUUAUUGUUAGGUUCAUUUCUAAUUAGAAAUUGCCCGUCAUUAGAUUAGGUCAUUAGAUUAAUUUAGAUUGCAUAUUUAAAUGUUGCCUUUCUUUAAUUUCGAAUCUCAUAGAAAAUACAAAAAAAAAUUAUUUAGAAUAAAUCAUCUCAUGCUUAGGAUAGAUUACAUGCUUAGUUAUGUCAUAUUGCUUAGGUCAUAUAGCUAAGUCAUGUUGCCAUGUCAUAUCAUUUCAUGUUAAAUUAGUGGCAUGCAUUGCAUAUUGCAUGAUUUUCAUUAAUUAGGUGAAAACAAAACAAAAAAAUUGCGUGUUAAUUAGAAAUCAUAUCUAGGGCUGCUGAUGUGAAUUUUGAUUUAACAAUGCAGAUGCUUUCGUUGCUCCUAGGUAUGUUUUGCAAUAUUUAAUUGCUUUCUUGAGUGUUAAAUUGGUGGUAUGCGCACAUGUAUGAUCACCUCACACGUUAGGAAGUUAAAUUAAAAUCAAUUCAAUUGCCAAACAUUUUUGAAAAUAAAAAGAAUGGUACCGAAAGGGCAUUAGAGAAAUCUAAUGUAAUCAAGUCCCCGUACCCUUAGUCUCUGGUUCGUAGGAGUAACGUAAUUCUCCCAUUAUUUUACUUAGGUGUCUAAUCGACCUACCAUAAACUGAUUAGUGGCGACUCCUAAAUAAAAUCAAUUUGCAUGUUAAGAAUUCAAACCUAAGUCGCGAAUUGGUAUGGGCUUGGGAGAGCCCGAGUUAAGUUUAGGCUUAACAAUCCAUUAGCCAAACCCUAGGUGGUUCAUAACCCGAAAAAUUGGUCGCGACAGCUUGGCGACUCCGCUGGGGACUUGAGUUGAAAUUCUUAGUGGACUUAGGCCAAUUUUCUUUUUUGAAAAAAUGCUUUUGUUUGGCAGCGAGGAUUCCAGGUACGUCCCUAACAUUUAGGUGUUAAAUGUUCUUGCAGAUUUGGAGGUAUAAGGGGAAGUGUUUGCUAACCUUUGUUAUGCAGGGAGGUGUAGGAAUGUAUGGUUUACUUUCAUAUAUGAAGUGCUGCUUGAUAUAAAUUGUCAUGCAUGCCUUGCAUUUAUCACUACACUUUGCACACACAACCUGCCGCCGGACCUGGGCCGCACAGGAUCAUUUAGGAUGGUGUUGAGGUGGAUACCACUCCGACCGCAUGCUCGCGGUACGAGUCGCCCAUCUCAAUCCCGAACUUUCUUUCAUGGUGUCAAGAGUACCCACCUCGGUCCGCAUGCUCGCGACCCGGGUCGGCUCUUUGACCAAGCCGGAGUCAUGAGGACCCGACAUAGUCCACAAGCCCGUGGCUAGUCCGAUCAUCCUUGUGGCUCCAUCUUGAUAAGUCUUAUAGAUUAGAAAUCGAGCCACUUACCAUACGCAUGUAUAUGUGAUUGCCAUUAAUUUUCCUUGGCGAAGUAAGUCUUCUAUCCCUAUACCAUGCAAUUUAUUUUGUCAUAUUCUUGGGUCGGUCCAUGACAAUCUAGGUCAAUCAUUGAUUUGAUUCAUUUGUCAAUUGGAAAUGAAAUGAGAAAUUGCUAGGGAAUGAUGAAUUUUAAAAAAAAAACUUUGGAGAAUUUGUUUUCAAUUCAUGUUUAGGAAAUUUGGUCUUGUUAGGAUGUCUAUCUUUAUUUUCCUAGUCCAUUUUUAGGAAAUGCCCUUCUUGGAAGAACUUUUCAUGAAUAAAUGAAAAAAAUGGAAAAAUUGAUUAGAUCAUUGUCAUGGAUCGACUUUCUAUUUACCCUCAUGCUUACAUGUUCCUGUUUAUUUGAAUUAGGUGGUUAUGGAACGAUCCCGCUCACUCAUCCGUUCACGAUCGAGAGUUAAAAUGAUGGAUCAAAAAGAGCUUAUCUCGUCAAGCAAAAAUGCUGCAAUCUAUCUUUAGUGAGAAAUUGCAACUCCAAGAAGAGAGCCAAGAAGACCUUUUGAAUCUUCUCAUUUUCCUGAGGUAGUCG